rnacentral:lncRNA from 1 species
GCUGGCUGCGCGCGGCUCCGGGUCCCAAGUAAAGAGGAAGAUGAAUUUAUACUUUGGUAUCAAGGUUAUCCAGGAGGAAUAUCAUGCCAGCCACUCUGAAAAUCUAAGCAUAUUUUGUAUUCACAAAUCAGUUCCUUAGAGGAAAUUCCCUUUAUGGGUAGAUGGCAAUACUUUAAAGAUAAUUACCGUUAAAACCAUAAGGCUCAUACUUG